rnacentral:rRNA from 1 species
CCUACGGGUGGCUGCAGUAGGGAAUAUUGCUCAAUGGGGGAAACCCUGAAGCAGCAACGCCGCGUGGAGGAUGAAGGUCUUCGGAUUGUAAACUCCUUUUGUUAGAGAAGAUAAUGACGGUAUCUAACGAAUAAUCACUGGCUAAUUCCGUGCCAGCAGCCGCGGUAAUACGGAGGGUGCAAGCGUUACUUGGAAUCACUGGGCGUAAAGAGCGUGUAGGCGGGAUGGCAAGUCAGAGGUGAAAUCCUAUGGCUUAACCAUAGAACUGCAUUCGAAACUGUUAAUCUAGAGUAUGGGAGAGGUUAGUGGAAUUCUAGGUGUAGGAGUAAAAUCCGUAGAGAUCAAGAGGAAUACUCAUUGCGAAGGCGACCUGCUAGCACAUAACUGACGCUGAUGCGCGAAAGCGUGGGGAGCAAACAGGAUUAGAUACCCUAGUAGUC